rnacentral:lncRNA from 1 species
CCAGCGUGGGUUAUAAAAAUAAACCAUAGACCAUAUGACCCUUUUGUGGUUGGUUUCAUCCAUAGUUCUAAUCAAAGCUUCACAGAAAUCAUAGCAAAUGAUGUCCCCUAGAUUCUAUUUUAAAUGCUCACUUUUAGUACCAAAUUCAUGACUCUAAAAAAAAACUUCUUAAGGCUAUCCCACUGCAGACAAUCAUGUUAGAAGAUCAAGUAGAAGUUUCUCAAAA